AUGGUUGAACUUGAAAGGCAUGUUAUGUUUCCCACUGUCUAUCGCCUCAUUGAGUUGGCAUUGCUACUACCGGUAGCGACGACAACAGUUGAAAGAGCCUUCUCAUCAAUGAAAAUCAUCAAGACUAAGUUGCGCAGUAAGAUGUCUGAUGCUGGCUUGAUGACUUGA
rnacentral:rRNA from 1 species